UAUUCUUGGUUAGAUGGAAAGACAUUUAACAGAGGUGCUUAUAAAUACAGCCAGCCUCUUUUUCUUUUCUCCCCAAGAAAGAAGGUUGAAAUCUCUCCAUUCUUAUACUGUUGAUGAUAUGAAACCCCUAAAUUCUAUAACGGAUAACAUGGAGGAGAAAAUGUCAGCUGGAAAAAUACUUAAGUUAGGUGUUACCAGAUGUCUGCCCCUUUCUAUUAAAGAAGGCUCCUCUAAUGGCUUUGACUCUACCAUUAUAAUCACCAUCCUGUGGAUGAAAUAAUUCAGAUCUUCAACAUAGACCAGCUGAAAUGGAAAACAAUAACAAUGAUGUAUUUUUACCAAGGGAAUUUCCAGUAAGAUCAUGAGCUUCUUUGUGGCAGAACAGGAAACCUCUGAGGCAAAGAUGAAGAUGGGCAGGCAUCGGGGCCAUACCCAUCAAUUACACUGCCCUCCACUCUCCAUCCCCACAGGAUGCUCUAAAUAGCCACCUGGAUCCACUGAAAGAACCUUCUUCGCUCUAAUAUGCUGAGUCUUUGACCAUUAUGACAGUCUCAGGACCUAAGGAAGGAGAAGGGAUUCUAACUUCAGGCAGCAGGAAAAGGACAGGAGUCUGAACUUGAAGUCAAGUAGAAAAGUAACUGCACAAGAGCUUGAAAGGAAAGGGCAUACUAGAAGAGUUCCAGGCCCCAGGUCUAUGAUGUGAAGAUUUCUAUUCCACAGGAACAUCUGCUUCUCUGCCCCCAACAACUAUUCAAGAAGCCUUCAAUAGCCGAGAAAAUCAUAGGCUAUUGUAACUCAGUAAAGAAGAGGAAUGUUGGGGAAGAAAAGUCCCAUUUUGAUGGGGUCACAAUCUCUAGUCACCCUCUUUCCCUCCACUUCCAGGCUGCCUUUUUUAAGACACCCCCAACAAGUAAAUGAUAAUCUUGGGCAUGGGUGAGAGGUAGAAGUGGGAUUCAGUAAGGUAUAAUCACCUACCAGAGGUACACAUCUGUUGGUUUGGCACACAUUCUCCAAAGCAACAUAUGGAAGCUUUGCAGUACAGUUUUUUUGUUGUUGUUGGGGUUUUUUUUUCUCCCGGGUUUUUUUUGGUUCGGGGUUGUUUUUCUCUGACCUGGUACCUCAGGCAGAAAUCUCAGCUGAGACAGCUAAGCAGAUCCCUAAGUGGCUGUCAUAAAAUGUUACUAUAAUCCUGUGGAUCUUUUCCCUCUUAGAAUCUCUGCUGUUGUUAGCUGGAGUCUAAUUAGCAGAAGGCAGAUAACACAAGGCAGAUUCCAGAAAUAUGCAGACACAAUUUCUACAAGCUGGCUGCCUCCUUCUUAUUAUGUUAAUAAUGAAGAUAUUCCCAUUGUUACCUUGGGACUGCUUCCUUGAUAAAGACCAGUAGAAUGUGCCAGGUAUGCUGAAUAAACAAGUCACGGAGAGGGUGGUAAUGAUCUCAGCCCAAAUAUUCAUAUUACAUAAAACUGGAACAAAAACAAGCAGAGAAAAAGACAAUAAAAACUUUCCCCCA